rnacentral:rRNA from 1 species
GGGCAUUGCGCAUGCCUACCAUGCAAGUCGAACGGUAGCACAGAGAGCUUGCUCUCGGGUGACGAGUGGCGGACGGGUGAGUAAUGUCUGGGAAACUGCCUGAUGGAGGGGGAUAACUACUGGAAACGGUAGCUAAUACCGCAUAAUGUCGCAAGACCAAAGAGGGGGACCUUCGGGCCUCUUGCCAUCAGAUGUGCCCAGAUGGGAUUAGCUAGUAGGUGGGGUAACGGCUCACCUAAGCGACGAUCCCUAGCUGGUCUGAGAGGAUGACCAGCCACACUGGAACUGAGACACGGUCCAGACUCCUACGGGAGGCAGCAGUGGGGAAUAUUGCACAAUGGGCGCAAGCCUGAUGCAGCCAUGCCGCGUGUAUGAAGAAGGCCUUCGGGUUGUAAAGUA